rnacentral:rRNA from 1 species
CCUACGGGAGGCAGCAGUGAGGAAUAUUGGUCAAUGGGAGGAAUCCUGAACCAGCCAUGCCGCGUGCAGGACGACGGCUCUACGAGUUGUAAACUGCUUUUGUACCGGGGUAAAAUGCUCUACGCGUAGGGUUUUGAAAGUACGGUACGAAUAAGGAUCGGCUAACUCCGUGCCAGCAGCCGCGGUAAUACGGAGGAUCCAAGCGUUAUCCGGAUUUAUUGGGUUUAAAGGGUGCGUAGGCGGUUUGAUAAGUUAGAGGUGAAAUACCGGUGCUCAACACCGGAACUGCCUCUAAUACUGUUGAACUAGAGAGUAGUUGCGGUAGGCGGAAUGUAUGGUGUAGCGGUGAAAUGCUUAGAGAUCAUACAGAACACCGAUUGCGAAGGCAGCUUACCAAACUAUAUCUGACGUUGAGGCACGAAAGCGUGGGUAGCAAACAGGAUUAGAUACCCCUGUAGUC